AGUGAACGCUGGCGGUAGGCCUAACACAUGCAAGUCGAACGGCAGCACAGUAAGAGCUUGCUCUUACGGGUGGCGAGUGGCGGACGGGUGAGGAAUACAUCGGAAUCUACUUUUUCGUGGGGGAUAACGUAGGGAAACUUACGCUAAUACCGCAUACGACCUACGGGUGAAAGCAGGGGAUCUUCGGACCUUGCGCGAUUGAAUGAGCCGAUGUCGGAUUAGCUAGUUGGCGGGGUAAAGGCCCACCAAGGCGACGAUUCGUAGCUGGUCUGAGAGGAUGAUCAGCCACACUGGAACUGAGACACGGUCCAGACUCCUACGGGAGGCAGCAGUGGGGAAUAUUGGACAAAGGGCGCAAGCCUGAUCCAGCCAUACCGCGUGGGUGAAGAAGGCCUACGGGUUGUAAAGCCCUUUUGUUGGGAAAGAAAAGCAGCAGGUUAAUACCCCGCUGUUCUGACGGUACCCAAAGAAUAAGCACCGGCUAACUUCGUG
rnacentral:rRNA from 1 species